UCUGUAUGACAUGGUGGCUUCUAGGCAGCAGCUGGCUACAUGGACAUGGCUUGUAAUAAUAAGGAACAGACAGUUAAAACCAGCCAGAACAUCCCUAGCCUUCAUCUCAUCCACAUAUGCAACACAUGAGAUGUAGCAAGUUUUAGGACAAGUGGGAUUUACACAGCCAGAGACUGGAAGGUGAUAUGGACUUAGGCCCACUUCAAGGAGGUCCAUGCCCAACAUUCCUUGAUUGUCUUCUAAACAGAGGAGGAAGUUACAUGUGGAGAAUUCUUAAGAUAUUCAAGAGAGGCUACAGCUGGCAGAAGAAAGGGAUUAGAGUUAUCAAACAUUGUAACUUUCAUCACUGGACUGAUGGACAUUCAGUUUCUGGGAUUUCAGCGCCAACCAAAAGUCACAUUCUCUUUUUCUAAGGACAUCUUUUUGCAUGCCCACAGAAAAUAUAAACUGGUAUUGUGUGAACAUGCAUUGAACUUACAAUUGCCCUUGCUAUGAGGCGAGAAACAUCACAAAAACAACUAUUUGAUUUGUGGGACUUUUCUAUCAUCACACAUUUUGGACUGUGUUACAGAAAUGUCACAGUACAGUGAGUGUAUUUACAGCUGUUUCUCUGUUAAAAUUGGA